UACGUAGGGUGCAAGCGUUGUCCGGAAUUAUUGGGCGUAAAGAGCUUGUAGGCGGUUUGUCGCGUCUGCUGUGAAAUUUCGGGGCUCAACCCCGAACUUGCAGUGGGUACGGGCAGACUAGAGUGUGGUAGGGGAGACUGGAAUUCCUGGUGUAGCGGUGAAAUGCGCAGAUAUCAGGAGGAACACCGAUGGCGAAGGCAGGUCUCUGGGCCGAAACUGACGCUGAGGCACGAAAGCUAGGGGAGCAAACAGG
rnacentral:rRNA from 1 species